rnacentral:rRNA from 1 species
CCUACGGGUGGCUGCAGUGGGGAAUAUUGGACAAUGGGGGCAACCCUGAUCCAGCCAUGCCGCGUGUGUGAAGAAGGCCCUCGGGUUGUAAAGCACUUUCAGUGAGGAAGAACGCCUGGUGGUUAAUACCCAUCAGGAAAGACAUCACUCACAGAAGAAGCACCGGCUAACUCCGUGCCAGCAGCCGCGGUAAUACGGAGGGUGCGAGCGUUAAUCGGAAUUACUGGGCGUAAAGCGCGCGUAGGUGGCUUGAUAAGCCGGUUGUGAAAGCCCCGGGCUCAACCUGGGAACGGCAUCCGGAACUGUCAAGCUAGAGUGCAGGAGAGGAAGGUAGAAUUCCCGGUGUAGCGGUGAAAUGCGAAGAGAUCGGGAGGAAUACCAGUGGCGAAGGCGGCCUUCUGGACUGACACUGACACUGAGGUGCGAAAGCGUGGGUAGCAAACAGGAUUAGAUACCCUGGUAGUC